UAGGGAAUCUUCGGCAAUGGACGAAAGUCUGACCGAGCAACGCCGCGUGAGUGAAGAAGGUUUUCGGAUCGUAAAACUCUGUUGUUAGAGAAGAACAAGGACGUUAGUAACUGAACGUCCCCUGACGGUAUCUAACCAGAAAGCCACGGCUAACUACGUGCCAGCAGCCGCGGUAAUACGUAGGUGGCAAGCGUUGUCCGGAUUUAUUGGGCGUAAAGCGAGCGCAGGCGGUUUCUUAAGUCUGAUGUGAAAGCCCCCGGCUCAACCGGGGAGGGUCAUUGGAAACUGGGAGACUUGAGUGCAGAAGAGGAGAGUGGAAUUCAAUGUGUAGCGGUGAAAUGCGUAGAUAUAUGGAGGAACACCAGUGGCGAAGGCGGAUCUCUGGUCUGUAACUGACGCUGAGGCUCGAAAGCGUGGGGAGCAAACAGG
rnacentral:rRNA from 1 species